GCCACUGAUUCUUGAUCUUAAGGUGACCCCAUUUUUCUAUGCCUCAUGCUCAUGCUGCUCUAUGUUCCCUUUUAAAAAUUCUUGCUUGCAUUUUGGGUUGGUUUCUGCUCCAUGUUCCCUUUUAGCGUUUCUUUCCAUUGUUGCUGCACUCCCUUUUGGGCGUUCAUUUCAUGCCCCGGAUCUUGCAAAUUGUGCCUGUGCCGAGCUUGCUUUAGAGUACGGGCUGCAGAGACGUCAAGGACCUCAAGGUAACCGAUGUUGUGGAGCUGGACGAGGUUUCCGCGCAGUUCAUCGACCGCCUGUUCUUCCUGGAGAAGUCCUUUUUCUGCUGGUUACAAAUUCCAGGUCUAGACAUGAUUUACUC